UAAAUCCUAUGGGAGGCAGCAGUGGGGGAUAUUGCACAAUGGGGGGAACCCUGAUGCAGCGACGCCGCGUGGGUGAAGAAGCGCCUCGGCGCGUAAAGCCCUGUUAGCAGGGAAGAAAAUGACGGUACCUGAAGAAGAAGCCCCGGCUAACUACGUGCCAGCAGCCGCGGUAAUACGUAGGGGGCAAGCGUUAUCCGGAUUUACUAGGUGUAAACGGGGCGCAGACGGCGAUGCAAGCCAGGAGUGAAAGCCCGGGGCCCAACCCCGGGACUGCUCUUGGAACUGCGUGGCUGGAGUGCAGGAGG
rnacentral:rRNA from 1 species